rnacentral:tRNA from 1 species
GCAGUCGUGGCCGAGUGGUUAAGGCGAUGGACUUGAAAUCCAUUGGGGUCUCUCCGCGUAGGUUCGAAUCCUACCGGCUGCG